rnacentral:rRNA from 1 species
UGGGGAAUUUUGGACAAUUGGGCGAAAGCCUGAUCCAGCAAUGCCGCGUGUGUGAAGAAGGCCUUCGGGUUGUAAAGCACUUUUGUCCGGAAAGAAAUCCUUGGCUCUAAUACAGUCGGGGGAUGACGGUACCGGAAGAAUAAGCACCGGCUAACUACGUGCCAGCAGCCGCGGUAAUACGUAGGGUGCAAGCGUUAAUCGGAAUUACUGGGCGUAAAGCGUGCGCAGGCGGUUUGCUAAGACCGAUGUGAAAUCCCCGGGCUCAACCUGGGAACUGCAUUGGUGACUGGCAGGCUAGAGUAUGGCAGAGGGGGGUAGAAUUCCACGUGUAGCAGUGAAAUGCGUAGAGAUGUGGAGGAAUACCGAUGGCGAAGGCAGCCCCCUGGGCAAUACUGACGCUCAUGCACGAAAGCGUGGGGAGCAAACAGGAUUAGAUACCCUGGUAGUCCACGCCCUAAACGAUGUCAACUAGUUGUUGGGGAUUCAUUUCCUUAGUAACGUAGCUAACGCGUGAAGUUGACCGCCUGGGGAGUACGGUCGCAAGAUUAAAACUCAAAUGAAUUGACGGGGUCAUAGCUG